rnacentral:rRNA from 2 species
UAAUACAUGCAAGUCGAGCGCAUUGGCCCAACUGAUAUGACGUGCUUGCACUGAAUUGACGUUGGAUUACCAGUGAGCGGCGGACGGGUGAGUAACACGUGGGCAACCUGCCCUGAAGCGGGGGAUAACAUCUGGAAACAGGUGCUAAUACCGCAUAACAACGAAAACCACAUGGUUUUCGUUUCAAAGAUGGUUUCGGCUAUCACUUCAGGAUGGGCCCGCGGUGCAUUAGCUAGUUGGUAAGGUAACGGCUUACCAAGGCAAUGAUGCAUAGCCGAGUUGAGAGACUGAUCGGCCACAAUGGAACUGAGACACGGUCCAUACUCCUACGGGAGGCAGCAGUAGGGAAUCUUCCACAAUGGGCGCAAGCCUGAUGGAGCAACACCGCGUGAGUGAAGAAGGGUUUCGGCUCGUAAAGCUCUGUUGUUGGAGAAGAACGUGCGUGAGAGUAACUGUUCACGCAGUGACGGUAUCCAACCAGAAAGUCACGGCUAACUACGUGCCCAGCAGCCGGGGUAAUAC